GGCAUUGUUGGAUGCCUCCACUUCAACACGUCCUCAUCUACUCACCAUGAUCUCAUCCAUUAACCCCUCUCUACUCCGCCGCCGGUCUCCCAUGGAGAUCUCCUCCAUUGCUGCAUUGGUCACGAACCCACCAGCACCAUACCGGAGACCCACACGAGCAGGCCGAGUCCGGCGUGCUGGCUACAGAGACGAGGCUCUGCGGCGGAGGAGGCCGACGCGGUGCCGUAUCGUACGGUGAGGAGCAGCGUGGGAAGAGGUCUGAGCUCGCCGGGAUUGUGGUGACGGCGACGGCGGCGGCAGCGGCGAUUACGUUUCUUUCCCGGAACAGAGGGAGAGGCUUAGGUUCGCCAAACCGCUGCCCCGCCGAGCCGCCCCUCCCACGUUGAGCGGCGGCGGGAUACGUGCGCGCCAUGGCGGGGGCUCAAGGGCCGAUCCUCUGCCCCGCGGAGCCACCUCUCCCGCGUGUUACAGACGCUAUCCCCCCACCUCCACCGGCCUGCCCCUUCCCGGGCCCGACCCUCCCGCCCCGGUCUCUUCUCCGCCCUGAUCUCCUCUGAUGCGGCGGUUCACUGGCGGAGGGAAACGCCGGAAGCACUCGCCGACGUCUUCGAUGCCGCAGCGGCUACGGCAGGUGGCCGGCGAUGUCCAGGGCCGGUGCGUGGAAGAGAUAAGCCCUGACUCCUGGUGCUUUGACUCUGUUCUCCUUGAAGUGAUCACGUUUCUUAGGUUUGCAGGCAGCUAGCUAGAGUGUGCGUGGGCACAAGUGGAUGUGUCAAUUGAUAAAUCGGUGACUGAUCAAAAUUCUGCUGCAAGUUCAACAUCCACGACUGUCAACAGAAGUGCAAGAGCCUACCUCCCAGCUGUGUAAUGCAAGACACCGACAAAGGCUACAGCCUACAAAGCUUCUGUAGUUUUCUAUGUGCCACAACGAGCCGAAAGAUUCUUUGUGGAAAAAGGGAGGUAAGAUUUCAAAGCAACCUACAUUAUUUAAAGAGCAGUGUUUCUUAAUAUAUAGGGUCAUGCGAUUGUCUCUCAAGCCUUUCGUCAAGCCACUUACUUUCAUAUUGCUCCCAGGUUGUGUAAUUUUGGCAACCUUCCAAAUUUGAAAGUAAAUUUCCAUGGAUUAAUCAAAUUCGGUGGAUAACACCACUUUGUAUAUGGGUUUCUUUUCCUAGCACUAACUUUUACAUAUGCCCAUCCCACCUUUAUGCUGAUGUUUAGAGAUAUUCUUUAAAGCAUAUGCUUGCAUGCGUUCUUUAAAUUCGGCGAAUGAUGCAUCAAUUUGUUUACAAUAUUCUUUGCCUAGCAUCAACUUUAUAUGCGUUAAUUUUUCUCCAUUGCCCAUUCCAAUUUUUAUGUAUGUUAAGAUAUAUGUAACCUUAAGUUAUAAUUCACAGGCUUGAGACUGCACUUUUCCUGUUGGCCUGGAAGUGCAUAAAUAUUCGUUAUUUCUAUUUUAAGUCUCUGAAAAAUAGAUACAUGACUUUUCGAGGAAAACUAGGUAUAAAACAGCGUAUGUUUUUCUUCUUGGUGCCUAUUGUAACAAGUCAGCCCAAGCAGCAUUCGUCGAAAAUAAGAAGUCAUCCAAGCAACAUUCCUCGAAAGAAAGGAAGUGAGCACGGCAUCUAAUUGGCUACAUCUAACUGGUGGCAAAACCCAGAUGGCAGGCUAACUGGUUUUGGACAUCACUUUGACUACUAUAGAAUUAGGAUGGUAGAUCGUUUCUGACAAGACUCACUCUGACGUCAGGUCUAAUGUUUUCGGGGUCUUCAAUCUGGACAUGAUAACUAUUAUGUUUGAGAAAUCAAUACGCUAGGGACUAUGCGCGGUGGUGGUAAGGUAUAUUCAGUAGCUCCUUCAUUGCUGCAAAUAUUGGAGGGUUUUCAAAUGAGGUAUGCGAUCAUAAGUUGGAAUGGUAAGUUUUAAAAUUGUAACAUGGUGACCGUUUCUCUGACCAUCUGCCUCUAGAUUUUAUUAACUCCUCCGACUUUUCGGUUUUAAUCAGCACAUGAACACAGGACAAACGAACUAGCAGUGGUUCCAAUUAAAGUCAAUUAAAUGGGAGCGGAGGGAGUAUUAUAGAUCUUGCAAAUGAAGUAUUCUCUGAAGAGCUACUUGAGUAUUCUAGAGAAAAAAUUGUAGCCCUUGCCAUUUUUUCAUAGAUGUUCACGACAUAUCUGACUAAAUGGAUUCUUGUUGUGAUUGAAGCUGGGAUUCAUCCUGUACACCAGAAGGAGAUUAAGGCCGAGAAAGGAUCUCCAGUGAUGUCACCACCGACAACGAAGGAGGAGAUGCAGAGCGCAAUUGGAGCUCUGCCUGGCUCUCCACCGUUUUAGAGCUCCAUUGCGAAACGACCAGCUGCACAACCGAGCGCAAAAGGCAAUAAAAGAAAGGCUGGUAGGAAUCCGAAGGGAGUAGGUCAGGAACAGAAAAACGAGGCCCGCACCUGCUGGUUGGAUUUUUGCCUUAGGCCAGGUUACACCGUUGUUUCAAACGCAGUCACCGACAACCCUUAUGAUACACUCAAGAUUCCAAAGGCGUUCUGUCUGUACAUCAUCGGUGAUUUUCCACAGAAAGUCAUGCUCGGCAACACCAUUGGAGACACAUGGAGUGUUCGACUGGUGAAAUGGAGGAACACAUCUUCAUUGAGCACGGAUGGGAUGCAUUCGCGGAGGCCAACAACAUUGCGGAAGGUGAUACUCUGUUCUUAGUUCUUACUUACACCUGACGUAGACAGCGAUAUAGUUACCCAUAUGUGCAAAGGUCUGGCCACAUGUUCAUCUAAAUGUUCAAUUACUUGGUCCAUCUGAUGCUGCCAUUGAAUGAAUAGCUAUUUGUGUUUAUGCUCUUCUAAAUGAGGUGGAAAUAUUGCCAGUUCACAACAAAAUGAUGUUAGCCUGUAUGAAAACUAGGUGGUGAUUUGCCUCUCCCUCACUCUCAUUUGCACUGAUCCUUAUGUACCUCUGUAUAGAUAGGCUCCUUUAGGCGCUGAUGUCUGUUUCACGGUAACAUAAACUUGGCACCAUAUUAUAAGACGGCAUGCUCCUUCCAUCCUGAGCACUUGAUUGAUUUGUUCAAUGCAACCUGCCAUUUUGUUUGAGACCUGUCUUUUCAAUUAUAGCAUGCAAAAAUUACCUAUACCCUACACCUGCAGCUAAAGAAAAGAUCUUAGAAUCGGCUUCCAAGUUAUUAGGAUUUAUUUCUUGACGAGUCCAUAAAGUUAAAUACCCUGUACUUUUCACCUGCAAGAAAUAUACCAUGAAUUGUUUUGUUCUGCUCUUAGAUUUGAUCUGGGUGCCAUUGUAGACCUUGAUAUGUUUCAGGACAUAAGCGGCAGGGAAGAGAAUGGGAGGAUGCCUUCGGCGAUCAGGUGGAGCUAUAAUUGUCACGCAAGGGGAGAAAGUUUUUGGAAGAAACCAUAUCCAGGCUGAAUAUAAAUUGUACUCUAUGCGAUAGUAUAGAUCUUGAUUUUUUCUCAGCAACUCCGUCCUUUCCUUUGUCAGUGGAAGUAGAAAACGUGCCACAGCUGGAGAUUUUGUAGCUUAUAUAUGAGGUUGGAACACAACCUCUACUUUAUUUGUGUUAAUUAUUUGUAGUUCUUGGUGGCUCACCAGAAUGAGCACUUAUAUGUCCUGUAUGGCUGUAUGAUUUGAUAGAAUUCCACCAUGGUUUUGUGACCAAAAAGAUUGAAAUACAGGUCGCCACAGGCCUACUAGCUUGCAGCAAAAA